rnacentral:lncRNA from 1 species
UCGCUAACGAGGCCGCCGACAAGGGCAUCGCCAACGAGGACGCCGCCCACGGCAUCGCCAACGAGGACGCCGCCCACGGCAUCGCCAGCGAGGACGCCGCCCACGGAAUCGCCAGCGAGGACGCCGCCCACGGCAUCGCCAGCGAGGACGCCGCCCAGGGCAUCGCCAACGAGGACGCCGCCCAGGGCAUCGCCAAGGAGGACGCCGUCCACGGCAUCGCCAACGAGGACGCCGCCCAGGGCAUCGCCAAGGAGGACGCCGCCCAGGGCAUCGCCAACGAGGACGCCGCCCAGGGCAUCGCCAAAGAGGACGCCGCCCAGGGCAUCGCCAAGGAGGACGCCGCCCAGGGCAUCGCCAACGAGGGCGCCGCCCAGGGCAUCGCCAAAGAGGACGCCGCCCAUGGCAUCGCCAACGAGGACGCCGCCCAGGGCAUCGCCAACGAGGACGCCGCCCACGGAAUCGCCAGCGAGGACGCCGCCCACGGCAUCGCCAGCGAGGACGCCGUCCAGGGCAUCGCCAAGGAGGAUGCCGCCCAGGGCAUCGCCAACGAGGACGCCGCCCAGGGCAUCGCCAACGAGGACGCCGCCCAGGGCAUCGCCAAAGAGGACGCCGCCCACGGCAUCGCCAACGAGCUGUAUACGACAUCGCUAA